UCCCUUGCAUUCUACUUCCUGCAGGCCCCACUGAAGAUCACAUCAUGUCCACGUGUGCAGGAUCCCUCCCUUUUUAUGUGGUGUGCUCCAGCCCCCUGACCAUCUUGGUGGCCCUUGGCUGAAUUCACCCUGCUAUGUCAAUUUCUUGACCAGAGGAAUCAGAAAGUGGUUGCAGUACUCCA